rnacentral:sRNA from 1 species
CUUGCCCUCGGAGUCCACGGGUUGAUCCUCUUCUGUUUCGAUUUCUUUGGAUGCUUCGGUGCUCUUUCCUUUUUUCUUUAUUGCAGUCGUCGUUCUCAUCCAUUUUGGGAUUAGCUUUCUUUAUCUCUCAAACCCUAAAUUUUCUCCAUUUUUGAUCUCAUCUCUGUCCGCUCGCGCCGAUCAAUCGGUUUGAAAAAAUUUCCUCUCUGUCCCUGCUUGGCAUCAAAAGUUAGCUUUGCUGUGGUGGGCCACGGUCUCAAACCCUAAUUUUUCUACCUUUCUGAUCUCAUCUCUCUCUGCUCGCGCCGAUCGGUUCGUUUGUAAAAUUUCAUCUCUGUGCCGUCGUUGUCACUGCUUGGUAUCAAAAGUUGGGUUUGCUGUCUUCAGUUCCUUUUUGUUGGAAAGUGGAAGCCCCAAAUUUGAGCUCAGAGCUUUAAUUUCUCAAUCAUUCGUUUCUCUGCACUCUCAUCAGUCACUCUUGAUGCUCUCUCAGAGGAGCACUACAUAUUUAAAGGUGUUGCUGGUAUAAAAUUUUCUCAUCUAUUUGCAGACAAGUUUGGCAAAUCACAAGUACAAAGGUGAGCCAAUUAUUCUCAUGGUCUUCGUUUUUAUAAUUUUUUUCCUUGAUUAAUUAAUUAAUCUUAGUGAAGGUGUAAUUAUUGUGUAAUUGUCUUUUUUUUCUUGAUUCUAUUCCUUUUAUUUCUGUGAUUUUAAGUGGUGGGAGGCUGUUGCAUACUUUGCAUGCAAUAAGUAUAAAAUUUGAUGUGUCCAGCUUGCAGAAAUUACAAGUUAAGGACAGUUGGGACUUCAAUUUGUAAAAGAUGUGAAAUAUUAGAACAAUGACAAUAGAACCGCCAAUCCAUAUGGUUGUAAAUAGAUUUCAACAUAUAUUUAAAUAGUAUUGCAUAUCGUAUGCAUUUAGAACUUUCCGCAUGUUUCUACAGUUUUGAAACCCGCAGCAUCG